CCCCAACCCCCUCGUUCCUUGAACAUGAAAGAUUUGACUCAAUUAAAAAGAGUCUAAGUCCCUCAGUCAAGGAAGAUAUAAAACGAAAAGGUCCAUUUCUAACAGGAAAAAAGUCUGCAAGCUCCUUCAAGUUCAUCUUCCACAGAUUUCCAAGAGUUUGUAUAAAGAACAGUUUAUUCGUUAAGCUUUGAGCUCUCUCUUUGAAAUCCUGGACCUAAGAGUAGUAAGAAGACUGCGUGCAGUGUGUUGAAUAGUCUGUGGGACAUAGGAAGAUGACCUUGCAGUGCAGUGUCAUCUUUUGAUGAUGUGCAGUGAAGAGCUCGUCUAAUUGACAGGCUUCAAGGGGAAAGCCUGUGGCCAAGGAGUUUCGAGGUGUGGUUUGUAGACACCAGGCCCCUCCACAGGACGGGGAAUUGGACGGCAGAUCGGGAACUGAGAGAGGACAGAUGGACAAGGAAUGCAGAAUUAGAUGGUGCCUGGCGCAUACUGGGCGUACGGAAAACCAAACAAACCCCUGCUGAACAUUUCUGGCUCCACAGAGAGAUACCGAGAGCUGGAUAUAAAAUACAAUCUUAACCCAGAGUAUUUGUCUUCCUCGCUUACUUAUUUCUCUUUUAGACUUUUUCCUGAAUCUUGCAGUUUGGAUGACUUAGAAAUUCUGUCAAGACCGAAAGCCUAGCCUGGUUUUAUUCAACUAAGUGCGUCUUUUGUUCAUAGUUCCAAACAUCCUGUGUGGAGGUAGCGUGGUCGAGCGGUCUAAGGCGUUGGAUUAAGGCUCUAGUCUCUCUGGGGACAUGGGUUUGAAUCCAACUAAUACUUUCUUUUGGGACAGGGCAGUUUUUGGUCCCUAAUAUCAUUCAGGAUUCUCCUCUCCCACCAUCUGCUUUUCCAGGCUACUGAUAACAGUUACACAUAUCAUACCCACUGCACACCCAAGUAAUUGCGUCAAUUAACAGUUAAUAAUCCCAUAAUGUGUCUGGUACUCACUCCUCUAACUCUGCAUGUCCACUCCAAGAAAUGCUCCAGCAACAUAUUCCACACCGACUAUAGGCUACAUCCUGUAGAUUCUGCAGUUCUUCCUUGUUACCUUAGUCUACGAAUGAAGGAUUACUGUGGAACAUCACUUUCCGAGUCGACAUGCAACUAGAGACAGAUCGGCCUAGGGCACUGUAGAAGUGGAUUCUUUCCUAUCCGGGAGACCGAAAACUAAGUCUUCAUCAUCACCACAGACUUCUUUCUCAUUUCAUUUUGAACCUGAAUCACGUUCAUCUGAGCUGUGUGUGUCUAAGAAAUGCCUUGCAAAAGGAAGCAAAAAUGAUCAAAAUAUAUUGUAUAAAUUUUUCAAUAAAAAUAAAUUAAUUAACAAUGC
ensembl:lncRNA